rnacentral:rRNA from 1 species
GAUGAACGCUGGCGGCGUGCCUAAUACAUGCAAGUAGAACGCUGAAGGAGGAGCUUGCUCUUCUGGAUGAGUUGCGAACGGGUGAGUAACGCGUAGGUAACCUGCCUGGUAGCGGGGGAUAACUAUUGGAAACGAUAGCUAAUACCGCAUAACAGUAGAUGUUGCAUGACAUCUACUUGAAAGGUGCAAUUGCAUCACUACCAGAUGGACCUGCGUUGUAUUAGCUAGUUGGUGAGGUAACGGCUCACCAAGGCGACGAUACAUAGCCGACCUGAGAGGGUGAUCGGCCACACUGGGACUGAGACACGGCCCAGACUCCUACGGGAGGCAGCAGUAGGGAAUCUUCGGCAAUGGACGGAAGUCUGACCGAGCAACGCCGCGUGAGUGAAGAAGGUUUUCGGAUCGUAAAGCUCUGUUGUAAGAGAAGAACGAGCGUGAGAGUGGAAAGUUCACACUG